rnacentral:other from 1 species
UUCGAGCUGCUGUGUUGGUGACUGCCUUUCACAGUUUUCUGAUCUGACUCCCUCUUCGACGUGGGAGAUCUGUCGCCACGGUGACGUAUACCGGCCCUGUUGCCGGAAAUGAAGCCCGGCUUUGAUCUCUCCUCUGGUUUAUCCAGGUCGAAACCUGGGGCAAGACGGCAUGGCGGUUCACCC